rnacentral:lncRNA from 1 species
GUCGGCGGUCACCAGGCGCGGGACCUUGGUGCCGCCUUUCAACCUUUUGGGCUGCGAUGCUCUCUUUGGUGACCCAAUGUCGUUCUGGAUCCCUCCUGCUUUCCCACAUUAGGGUUACAAAGGCCAGAAGAUGGGGAAGGGAGAGGUCAUUCCCACUUCCCAAAGCGGGUGCUAUGGACUGAACUGUGUCCCGUCAAAAUUCAUGCUGUAGUUCUGACCCCAGCACUUCACGAUAUGACCUUAUUUGGAGACCGGGCCUUUAAAAUGAGAUGUCCUUGUAAAACGAGGCGCCGAGGACACAGACAUGCAGAGGCUCGGCCCUGCAUGGACACGGGGAGGAGGUGCCAGCCCAGGAGAGGCCUCAGGAACCAGCCCUGCUGCAGCCUGACCUGGGAAUUCGGCCUUCAGACCGCGAGGGCCUUGGUGUCUGCUGUGGAGGCCGCCGGGCCUGUGGUCCUUUGUGACGCCGGAUGCACACGGGGGAGUGCAGCCCUCACAAAGCUGAGACGGAGCUGCGGGUGGGGCCUCGGCACCUUCAGGACCUGCUCUGCGCUCCUGCUGGGUCCCAGCUGCUGAGUCAGAUGGGCUCAUCCAGAAACAAGCCAGCUGCCCUCCCUCCUUCCCCACAGCCUCACACUUGGGAGGCGGGGAGACUUCAGAAGUGCUUUGGUGCCAGCCCUGCCCCUGGCAGCUCCAGCUGAGAUCCUCGUCGACAAGGAGAACCCAAGUCCAAGGACAGCAAGAAGGGCCUUCUGGAGCUGAUAGCCACGCCCUUCCGGCUGCAGCCACGCCCUUUCUUGAUGACCACGCCCACUGCACGAAUGACCACGCCCUCUCGGUUGUGGCCACGCCCACUGCACUGGUGGCCACGCCCCCACCCCAGGGCUGCUUUCCCCUUUGAUAAAGAACAUCUUUUUAGAUGUCAGGGCCUGAAGGCCCUUGGGGAAGGUGAGCCUGUUCUUUAGGGCCCCAGGAAGGCAGCGUUUCCUGUGCUUAGGACUCCCUUCUCACGGUCCACACUGCCUCCCCAACUGACUUCAACGGGGCCUCAUGGCGCAGAGGUGCCCAGGGGAGCAUCAGGAGCUUGAGGGAUAGACGGUGGAGCCACGCGGGAGAAGCUUCAUCCCUGGCCCAGCCGAGCAACGCCCUCUCACGGGUUAGCACAGAAAUCCACUUUUUUGGGAGACACAAUUCAACUCACAGCAGUGACCAUGAGUGGAUGAACAGAGGUCAAUGGCAGGACGUGGUGACAGUGCAGGCGGGCGGAAGUCGAGAGGAAACUGAGUCUCUCGCAAGGCCGACCCGGCCGUGUGUACCCAAAUAGGAGGCAUCAGAUAAGAGUGAAGCCAAGCCUGGCACUCCGAGGGGCAGGUGGGAGCUGGAGAUGCCUCGAGAAGCCCCUUUGGCAUCUGGACCCGACUCGGCCCCGGGCCGUCCUCUGGGGGCUCUCUGAUCCAUUGUCUGAGGACACAUGGUGGACUCACCACAGGGACUGAGGCUGAAUCACAAACUCCAGACCCCAGCAAGGACCUGGAGCAUCCUGGGUGUCCUGGCAUCCAGCUGAUGACCUCAGCCAUCAACACCUGGGAGAUUCCAGAGUCCUGGAUGCUGAGAGGCCUGGGCUUUAGGGCAAGGCCUGGGAGGGGAGGUGCUGGGCAGACGACUACCUGGAAGAAAUAGGAUGGGGCCUGGCAUGCUUCAGUGGGGCCUCAGUGUGGAGUGUGACACAGCGCUGAGGGACAUGGGGCAGGCUGGUCACACAGUGCUGGUCUCAGCCUGGCAUGAGGACAUACUGCUGCAAGUGACGGCACAUCACGGUGGCACCCCGCCCCCAAGAGUCGGGCUGCAUGACCGCAGGGUGGGAAGACGGGGGGCACUGCCAGGCCUGUCUGCUGUGGGCUCAGCCCAUACCCUCCAAGCUCAACCACUUCAAACCUCAUCACAUCGGGCAAUGAGAUAAGGGGCUUCACCCUUCCGGCACGUAUAGGAGGCAAGCCCCACUGUGACUCUGCGAAGACGGGUGCCUUCUGCCCUCCCUCCGAGCUGUGUGGCCACCUGCCUCGUCCCCACUCAACUCCUGAAACCCCCAGGGGCUCUGCUGACUUCUCUGUCAUCUUCAUACUGUGCGUGUGUGGUGUGUGUGCAUGUGUGUGAUGUGUGCGCGGUGUGUAUGUAUGUGUGUGAUGUGCCUGU